CAAACGACUCUCGGCAACGGAUAUCUCGGCUCUCGCAUCGAUGAAAAACGUAGCGAAAUGCGAUACUUGGUGUGAAUUGCAAAAUCCCGUGAACCAUCGAGUCUUUGAACGCAAGUUGCGCCCGAAGCCACUAGGCCGAGGGCACGUCUGCCUGGGCGUA
rnacentral:rRNA from 1 species